rnacentral:rRNA from 1 species
AACACGUGAGUAACCUGCCCUUAACUUCGGGAUAAGCCUGGGAAACCGGGUCUAAUACCGGAUACGACGGACCACCGCAUGGCGGUCCGUGGAAAGCUUGAUGCGGUUUUGGAUGGACUCGCGGCCUAUCAGCUAGUUGGUUGGGGUAAUGGCCCACCAAGGCGACGACGGGUAGCCGGCCUGAGAGGGUGACCGGCCACACUGGGACUGAGACACGGCCCAGACUCCUACGGGAGGCAGCAGUGGGGAAUAUUGCACAAUGGGCGAAAGCCUGAUGCAGCGACGCCGCGUGAGGGACGAAGGCCUUCGGGUUGUAAACCUCUUUCAGCAGGGAAGAAGCGAAAGUGACGGUACCUGCAGAAGAAGCGCCGGCUAACUACGUGCCAGCAGCCGCGGUAAUACGUAGGGCGCAAGCGUUAUCCGGAAUUAUUGGGCGUAAAGAGCUCGUAGGCGGUUUGUCGCGUCUGCUGUGAAAGCCCG